rnacentral:pre_miRNA from 11 species
ACGAAGAUUUAAUUCAUGUCAGAGUAAUGUCAAAGUGCUUACAGUGCAGGUAGUGAUAAGUAGAACCUACUGCAGUGAAGGCACUUGUAGCAUUAUGCUGGCAACUGCCUCAAAAGGUUUG